GACUCUUCGGUUCUCUCAAUCUCUUCUCCUUCUCUCUACUUUCUCUCUCUAGAUUCUCUGUGAUUUUCUCGGUUUAUCUAAAUAUUGACAUGGUAUCAGAGCCUUACAACGAUCCGAUCAUGUUUAUUUGCAUAUCGGUGUCUCUUUGAUUGGACAUGGUUCAGAGUGUUUUACACCAUGAUAUCCGGGUGUAUCUUCGUGACCUCAACGUUCUAAGAAUCUCUGUCGGUUUUGGGUGAUUUUGGUGAGUUAUCGGUAUCUAGGGUUUUCGGUGGUUUUGACUUGCUGUUUUACCGCCUUCCGGUGGUCCGAUUCUCAUCUCGUGGAUGUUUGGGUACCUUUCCGACAUCGUUUCUCAUAUUUCCGGUGACCGACUCGACGUUUGAACCUAGGGUUUCAUACCUAGGGUUUUCACUGUCAUUUGAAGGCCGAUCUUCUUCCGGUAGCGAAGAAGGAGGGUAAGUUUGUCUUAAAAUUCAAUAUUACGUGAUUUGCGUGUACUGGAUUGGUUUUAUAUCUGAGUAGUUGGCUUUGUGUGGGGAUACUUGAUUUGUUACACUCUGGUUGUUGAACCUGUUUUCUUUGUUGAUGUGUCAUGGCUGUUAAUACCAAUACUGGUAUUUUGGACUCUAGCAGUCCUCUAUUUCUAUACUCCUCCGAUGUUCCCGGGGUAUCUCUUGUCCCCACUCCCUUCUCGGGUGAUGGUUAUGG
rnacentral:lncRNA from 1 species